GCCCUGAUAGUUCAAUGGACAGAACAAGGCACUCCUAAGGCUUAGAUGCAGGUUCGAUUCCUGCUCAGGGCA
rnacentral:tRNA from 3 species